CCUACGGGAGGCAGCAGUGGGGAAUAUUGCACAAUGGGCGCAAGCCUGAUGCAGCGACGCCGCGUGAGGGAUGACGGCCUUCGGGUUGUAAACCUCUUUCAGUAGGGAAGAAGCGAAAGUGACGGUACCUGCAGAAGAAGCGCCGGCUAACUACGUGCCAGCAGCCGCGGUAAUACGUAGGGCGCAAGCGUUAUCCGGAAUUAUUGGGCGUAAAGAGCUCGUAGGCGGUUUGUCGCGUCUGCCGUGAAAGUCCGGGGCUCAACUCCGGAUCUGCGGUGGGUACGGGCAGACUAGAGUGAUGUAGGGGAGACUGGAAUUCCUGGUGUAGCGGUGAAAUGCGCAGAUAUCAGGAGGAACACCGAUGGCGAAGGCAGGUCUCUGGGCAUUAACUGACGCUGAGGAGCGAAAGCAUGGGAGCGAACAGGAUUAGAUACCCUGGUAGUCCAUGCCGUAAACGUUGGGCACUAGGUGUGGGGGACGAUUCCACGUUUUCCGCGCCGUAGCUAACGCAUUAAGUGCCCCGCCUGGGGAGUACGGCCGCAAGGCUAAAACUUAAAUGAAUUGACGGCUGAGACGNGCGAGCGACACGAGGAGAG
rnacentral:rRNA from 1 species